ACCGUUUCAUGUUUCAGCGGAUCAAAUUUCUUGAGAAUGAAAUUCGAAACAAAUCGGAGGCAGUAAAAGAACUCAUGUCGGAUGUGGAUGAACAGCAGAUCUUGGUGCACUUUAAACUUAAAUAAUAUUUCUCUGUAUUUUCUGCAUUCUCGUAUAAAUAUGACGCCGGUCGUAUUUCGAUUUCUUUCUUUGUUUGCCGUAUUUCCAUUUGAUUUUUUGUCAGCAAGUCCAG